UUUUUUCUUUUUUUUUUUUUUAAAGCAAUGAUUUAUUAAUAAAUAAAAAUAAGACAAUAAAAAGCAGUAAGUUGCAGCCCAAAUACGAACGCCUUACCCCUUGCAUCCAUACCUAAAGGGCACAAACAGCAAAGCGCGAGCUAAAAAGUACAAUACCAAGGCAUGGGGUUGUGUCAGAACAUCGAGCGAUGUGUUGAUUCAGCGUGUGUCACAACCAAAAUAUGUAUUUCACCAUUCUUUAUUUUAAUUAUCAAUUAAGCAUAAUUCAUUGCUUAUUAUUAACUCAAAUCCCAAGGUUAUAGACUUCUAAUAUAAUCUCAGCAGGAUUUCCGCUAUGAACUGGACUUAAAACUACAUGUUAAUAAUAUGCAAUCGUAUCGAUAACCCAUUAGUAAGCUUUCAGUCAACAAUUUCUCAAUUUCUUUUUUAAUCAACUGAAGUUUAACUAAUAACCAUUAUAUAAAAAGAUCAAUUCUUUAUAGCAUACUAAGCAUAUAAAUAUCUAUCAGCAUAAUUAACAUCCUCCAAUCCGAGAAAAUUUUAUUCAUAACAUACAUAAAUUCAAGUAUCCAUGUAAUCUCAAAUCCAUUAAUGAUUCUAAAUGAAGCAUGUCCAUGUCCAUGACCAUGUACAUGACCCAAUUCUAGUGCAGCUAAGUCGGCUACUCUGUCUAUUGGGCCUACCUUUUUCCCUUUCAAUUAAUGAUAAUUUAUCAUUUAGUGCCCCUUGUGUGUGUAUAUAUAUAUAUUAAACAUGUGACAAUAUAAACAAUUCUUAGUAAAGAGUGAAUAAAACGAAGAUAAUUUACUACCAGAGUUAUUAUAUUUAAAAUAGCCAAAUCUACUAUACAAUUGUUAGACUUCCUUAAUUUUUAAUUGCAUAUGUUUCUUUAUUCUUAAUCAUCAUCUGAGAUUACAUAGAUAAGAUCAAAUGACAUCUUAUUGAUUUACGGAUUAUACACUUUGUUAGAGCUUCACAAUUGAUUAAUCAACUCAUUCACAGUGUCUCAGAGCAAUCAUAUUACACUUAAUUACCAUACGAUAUAAUUGAAACUAAUUUUACAUAUAAGUACUUCCAUCCAUGCUCCCAUAUAUUUUUGUAAAUGGUUCUAUUGUAAUAUUGUAAAUCUUUUAUAUCGUUUGUAAACCGUAUAUGCAUAAAUUUAGGCCUGAGGGAAAAGUUAUUCAUGGCAGAGUCACAAGAUUUAGAUGCAGAUGUGGCGUAGCCACCGAAUUUAGAUUUGUGGACAUGAUGGAGUCCCACCAGUUUCAAAUUAAAUGUGGCAGAACUACCAGAUUCAAAUACAGAUGUGGCGUAGCCACCAGAUUUAGAUUUACAGAUAUAGCAAAGCCACCAAAUUCAAAUUCAGAUGUGGCAGAGCCUGGUCUAGAUGCAAAUAUGAUAAAGCCACAUAUUUUAUUGUCAGAAAUGGUAAAACCACUAAAAUUAGAAUAAGAUAUUUUCCCCUCAUGAAUUAUGCUAGAUGAGGUGACCUAGUUAUUCUUAUAAACAUAGAUGUGACAAUAUAUAUAAUCCAACAAUUUUAUUUCUUUAGCCAUAGCACCCAUUUUAAUCCAACUUUGGGAAUUCAGAAAAUAAAUUACACAAAUUCCAUCAUUUAGUUCCACUUCACAACAACUCUUCUAACUCAAUUCCUUUGGAGUUAAUUGGAAAGCACAAGUCACCCAAGUGUUAGCACGUCAACAUUAAAUUCAGAUAAAAAUUAAAGGCUUCUAUUGUAUUCAUAACACUUUCACAACUUUAAAUACAAUUCAAUUAAUGAAAAGGGGCAGCUUUUACAUAUAAAUUUACCCAUUUAUCUUGGAUGCUCCAAUUGACUCCAAUUUAAUUAACAUGCUUCUCAACAUGCAAAAUAUCUUUGUACAAAUAUUUUCAAGUCAAUCCAAAAACAUAAGACACCAAAAAUAUAUAUUUUUUAAGGCUGACCUACCUCCCUGAACAGGUUAUUAAUUUGGCAUCAGGAAUAUAGAAAUUUAUAGGUAAACUUCUGGGCACCUGAUCUUUCCCAAGUUUUUAACACAUGUUCUAGACAUCAAGAGAUCUUUACAUGAUGAGAUAUCAAGAGAUCUUUCAAACCUUUCGUUUUCUAAAUUUUCCAGAAUUUCAAACAGCUUAUAGAAAAAAAAAAUCAUAUCUCACAAAUCACAAGUCUAAAAUUCAUCAAAGUUUAACACAAUGCUCUCAACAUCUUGGAGAUCAUCUCCCCCUAAAAAUCAUAAAAUUCUGGACAGCAUAAGUAUUUAGUUACCUUAAAUACAGUAGCUUACAACACAGGAAUCCUUAUUCUGGUGGCAUGUAUUUUAAAAUUUAUUGCUCUUAAUCUAGCCAUUAAAAAAUUCUCAAAUUUUAACCAUAUUUUAUACAUCCAAAUGCUAAAUAUAUCUAAAAAUCAACGGUGGAACAUGUCAUCAACUCAUAACAACUCAAGGCAAAUAAUGAAACCUAUUUGCAAUAGAACAAAAUACCUUUACUUACAGUUACAUUUUAUCACCAUGUUUCAUUAUCAGGGCUUUUCCAAGCACCCAUGUUUCAUACACAUAUAGCAUAUAAGACAUCAUUUUAAGUUUCCUUUGCUAGAAGGAAAAAAAAUAUGGAGUUGAUAAAUUAAGGAAUCAAGGUUGGAUUACACUAGCUUGAGAGAGAAAAAUUCAAGAACUUGUCAAUUUGACAAUUCAUCUUACUAGCUCUAAUUAAAUUUCCAAACUUUAUACACCCAUUCAACCAUUGAAUGAAGAUACAAUAAGGAGAAAAUUUAUAAAUUAAGUGAAAUAAAAGGAAUUUCACUCACCUUAGGCUUAAAUUGCUUCCAAGAUCCUUAGAAAGCCAAGAACCCCAAGUUCACUUCACUUAACUCAUCCCCACCAUGCAACCGAAGUUCUUUCCUCCCACUCACUU
rnacentral:misc_RNA from 1 species